rnacentral:rRNA from 1 species
AACGCACCUUGCGCCCUUUGGCAUUCCGAAGGGCAUGCCUGUUUGAGUAUCAUGAACACCUCAACUCUCAUGGUCUGCCAUGAUGAGCUUGGACUUUGGGGGACUUGCUGGCCCAGUGUCAGCUCCUCUCAAAAGGAUCAGCUUGCCAGUGGUUUGGUGGCAUCACAGGUGUGAUAACUAUCUACGCGUGUGGUUUCCUGCCAUGACGACCUUCAGCGAUGGAGGUUCACUGGAGCUCACAGCGUGUCUCCUCUCUCCAAGAGAGGACACUUUUUGAACGUUUGAUCUCAAAUCAGGUAGGACUACCCGCUGAACUUAA